UGCAACCCUCGGUAUUGCUCCCGCGCCUCGCUCAGCCAGUGAACUGAGGUACAUGUGCACCUGCUCUCAGCCAUGGCAGCCUCUCCUCACUUUACUGCGCAUCCAGUGGGCCAACCCUGCCGCUUCAGUAAUGAUUUAAUCUGCUGACACGGUUUUCCAUAGUUUACAAGCCCUAUGUGCUUUCUUUGUUGUUAGCACAGUAUUUAAUGCAUAAAGGCAGAAUUAUUGCAAAAUUUUUUAAAA